UACGUAGGGGGCAAGCGUUAUCCGGAUUUACUGGGUGUAAAGGGAGCGUAGACGGAACAGCAAGUCUGAUGUGAAAACCCGGGGCUCAACCCCGGGACUGCAUUGGAAACUGUUGAUCUAGAGUGUCGGAGAGGUAAGUGGAAUUCCUAGUGUAGCGGUGAAAUGCGUAGAUAUUAGGAGGAACACCAGUGGCGAAGGCGGCUUACUGGACGAUGACUGACGUUGAGGCUCGAAAGCGUGGGGAGCAAACAGG
rnacentral:rRNA from 2 species